AGAGAUAUUGGUGCCCAAUGAUCAUUGCAUUGGCGACAGGAAAGCGUUCUUGACACUUCGGCCAGAGAAGGAAGUCGUCGACGAUGUGCUAAACUUGGUUGCUACCAUGUUGACAGAUGACCGGACAGAGAAUACUUGGUGGCUUCUGACGACUUUCUCGCAAAUAGCUCUGAAUCCGACAACCUACUGCAAGGAGUCGUUGGAGUACAUUGAACGCUGCUAUGUGGGUCCCGUGGACGACAUCACUAAGG